AGCGAACGCUGGCGGCAGGCCUAACACAUGCAAGUCGAACGAACCUUUCGGGGUUAGUGGCGGACGGGUGAGUAACACGUGGGAACGUGCCUUUAGGUUCGGAAUAACUCAGGGAAACUUGUGCUAAUACCGAAUGUGCCCUUCGGGGGAAAGAGUUAUCGCCUUUAGAGCGGCCCGCGUCUGAUUAGCUAGUUGGUUGAGGUAAUGGCUCACCAAGGCGACGAUCAGUAGCUGGUCUGAGAGGAUGAUCAGCCACAUUGGGACUGAGACACGGCCCAAACUCCUACGGGAGGCAGCAGUGGGGAAUCUUGCGCAAUGGGCGAAAGCCUGACGCAGCCAUGCCGCGUGAAUGAUGAAGGUCUUAGGAUUGUAAAAUUCUUUAACCGGGGACGAUAAUGACGGUACCCGGAGAAGAAGCCCCGGCUAACUUCGUG
rnacentral:rRNA from 1 species